rnacentral:tRNA from 1 species
GCCGCCGUAGCUUAGCCCGGCAGAGCGUCUGAUUCGUAAUCAGAAGGUCGCGGGUUCAAAUGCAUUGCUUUGCCUCGCAAAGCAUGCCUGAAAAUCCCGCCGGCGGCU